UUUUAACGAGAGUUUGAUCCUGGCUCAGGAUGAACGCUGGCGGCGUGCUUAACACAUGCAAGUCGAACGAAGCACCUUGAUUUGAUUCUUCGGAUGAAGAUCUUGGUGACUGAGUGGCGGACGGG
rnacentral:rRNA from 1 species